UACAGAGGAGCCAAGCGUUGUCCGGAUUGACUGGGCGUAAAGCGCACGCAGGCGGACGCGCGCGUGGGGUGUGAAAUCUGGCCGCUUAACGGCCAGGCGCCAUCCCAUACGGCGGGUCUGGAGCCUUGCAGAGGGCGGUGGAAUUGCCGGUGUAGUGGUGAAAUGCGUAGAUAUCGGGAGGAACACCAGUGGCGAAGGCGACUACCUGGCCUGUUUCUUGACGCUGAGGCGCGAAAGCUAGGGGAGCAAACGGG
rnacentral:rRNA from 1 species